UACGAAGGGUGCUGGCGUUGUUCGGAAUCACUGGGCGUAAAGCGCGCGUAGGCGGCGAUACAAGUCAGAGGUGAAAGCCUGGAGCUCAACUCCAGAAUUGCCUUUGAAACUGUAUUGCUAGAGUGUCGGAGGGGAUAGCGGAAUUGCUAAUGUAGAGGUGAAAUUCGUAGAUAUUAGCAGGAACACCGGUGGCGAAGGCGGCUAUCUGGACGACAACUGACGCUGAGGCGCGAAAACGUGGGGAUCAAACAGG
rnacentral:rRNA from 1 species